rnacentral:tRNA from 1 species
GGAGGAGUUGAGCAAUGGUGGCUCUCCUGUCUUGAAAACAGGCGCCCGCAAGGGCAUGUGGGUUCGAAUCCCUCCUCCUCCG